UUCUUGAUCCCGUUCUAUACUUUUGUGUGGCUUCUUCAUUACCUGCUGUUUUCCAAAACAUUAAGCCAGUCGUUUCUUUUGUGCCUAAGGGGUUGAACCGUAAUGUUUAUAGCAAACGGCUUAUUACUGCUUCAAUUUAUUUCAUACGCUUCGGGAGUUCCACCCUUAGUCAGAGCGCUAUAUUUUCAAACCAUCCUGGAAUGUAUAACUCGGAAAUGGCGUUUAGAUACGCUAUUCAUAGGCUUAAUAUGGACAAAAGCCUUUUGCCUGAGACUACCGUUGAUUACUAUAUUGAAUAUGUAAAUCGAUUUGACUCUUUCGAGACAGUUCAAAAGGUGUGCAAACUUAUACGAGUUGGUGUUCAAGCUAUUUUUAGUCCAACUGACUCUGUUUUGGCGACCCAUAUAAAUUCAGUAUGCGAUGCCCUGGACAUCCCAAACAUUGGUCGGUCUGCCCAUGACUUUUCUAUUAACGUCUAUCCAUCGCAGAAAUAUGUAAAUUAUGCCUUUAAUGACGUAAUACAGUAUUUAAAUUGGACACGCUUUGGAAUCUUGCAUGAAAAAGAAAAUGGAAUAUUAAACUUGCAUCAGCUAUCUCGGUCAUUUCAUGGAGAAGUUCAUAUGCGACAGGUUUCUCGAGGGUCCUAUUUAUCCGCAUUGAACGAAUUUAAAGGAAAGGAAAUACAUAAUAUUAUUAUCGAUACAAACUCGAACGGUAUUUCCAUUUUGUUAAAAA